CUUCUCUCUCCUCCAGUCCAGUCAGCUCCCCCUGCAAGUCUCACGAGACUGCCAACUUAACGAGACUUGCAGGGGAGCUGACCGGACCAGAGGAGAGAGAAGGU